rnacentral:rRNA from 1 species
ACUCCUACGGGAGGCAGCAGUGGGAAUAUUGCACAAUGGGCGCAAGCCUGAUGCAGCCAUGCCGCGUGUAUGAAGAAGGCCUUCGGGUUGUAAAGUACUUUCAGCAGUGAGGAGGUGGGUAUGUUAAUAGCAUACUUCAUUUGACGUUAGCUGACAGAAGAAGCACCGGCUAACUCCGUGCCAGCAGCCGCGGUAAUACGGAGGGUGCGAGCGUUAAUCGGAAUUACUGGGCGUAAAGCGCAUGCAGGUGGUUUGUUAAGUCAGAUGUGAAAGCCCGGGGCUCAACCUCGGAAUUGCAUUUG